AUUGAACGCUGGCGGCAUGCUUUACACAUGCAAGUCGAACGGUAACAGCACUUCGGUGGCUGACGAGUGGCGAACGGGUGCGUAAUACAUCGGAACGUGCCUAGUAGUGGGGGCUAACUACUCGAAAGAGUAGCUAAUACCGCAUGAGAUCUAAGGAUGAAAGCAGGGGACCUUCGGGCCUUGCGCUACUAGAGCGGCUGAUGGCAGAUUAGGUAGUUGGUGGGAUAAAAGCUUACCAAGCCGACGAUCUGUAGCUGGUCUGAGAGGACGACCAGCCACACUGGGACUGAGACACGGCCCAGACUCCUACGGGAGGCAGCAGUGGGGAAUUUUGGACAAUGGGCGCAAGCCUGAUCCAGCAAUGCCGCGUGCAGGAUGAAGGCCUUCGGGUUGUAAACUGCUUUUGUACGGAACGAAAAGCCCUCUUCUAAUACAGGAGGGUCAUGACGGUACCGUAAGAAUAAGCACCGGCUAACUACGUG
rnacentral:rRNA from 1 species